GACGAACGCUGGCGGCGUGCCUAAUACAUGCAAGUAGAACGCUGAAGAGAGGAGCUUGCUCUUCUUGGAUGAGUUGCGAACGGGUGAGUAACGCGUAGGUAACCUGCCUUGUAGCGGGGGAUAACUAUUGGAAACGAUAGCUAAUACCGCAUAACAAUGGAUGACCCAUGUCAUUUAUUUGAAAGGGGCAAAUGUCCCACUACAAGAUGGACCUGCGUUGUAUUAGCUAGUAGGUGAGGUAACGGCUCACCUAGGCGACGAUACAUAGCCGACCUGAGAGGGUGAUCGGCCACACUGGGACUGAGACACGGCCCAGACUCCUACGGGAGGCAGCAGUAGGGAAUCUUCGGCAAUGGAGGAAAGCCUGACCGAGCAACGCCGCGUGAGUGAAGAAGGUUUUCGGAUCGUAAAGCUCUGUUGUAAGUGAAGAACGAGUGUGAGAGUGGAAAGUUCACGCUGUGACGGUAGCGUACCAGAAAGGGACGGCGAACUACGUG
rnacentral:rRNA from 1 species